UACGAAGGGGGCUAGCGUUGUUCGGAAUUACUGGGCGUAAAGGGCGCGCAGGCGGCCCUCCAAGUCAGGCGUGAAAGCCCCGGGCUCAACCCGGGAAUAGCGCUUGAGACUGGGGGGCUUGAGUUCGGGAGAGGAGAGUGGAAUUCCCGAGUGUAGAGGUGAAAUUCGUAGAUAUUGGGAAGAACACCGGUGGCGAAGGCGGCUCUCUGGACCGACACUGACGGCUGAGGCGCGAAAGCGUGGGGAGCGAACAGG
rnacentral:rRNA from 1 species